rnacentral:rRNA from 1 species
AGAGUUUGAUCAUGGCUCAGGAUGAACGCUAGCGGCAGGCUUAAUACAUGCAAGUCGUGGGGCAGCAGGGGUAGCAAUACCCGCUGGCGACCGGCAAACGGGUGAGGAACAUGUACGCAACCUUCCUUUAACUGGAGAAUAGCCCCUCGAAAGAGGGAUUAAUACUCCGUAACAUAAUGAAGUGGCAUCACUUUAUUAUUAUAGCUCCGGCGGUUAAAGAUGGGCGUGCACCUGAUUAGAUAGUUGGCGGGGUAAUGGCCCACCAAGUCUACGAUCAGUAACUGGUGUGAGAGCACGACCAGUCACACGGGCACUGAGACACGGGUCCGACUCCUACGGGAGGCAGCAGUAAGGAAUAUUGGUCAAUGGGGGAAACCCUGAUCCAGCCAUGCCGCGUGAGUGAUGAAGGCCCUAGGGUUGUAAAACUCUUUCGGCGGGGACGAUAAUGACGGUACCCGCAGAAGAAGCUCCGGCUAACUUCGUGCCAGCCGCCGCGGUAAUAC